CACGUAGGCACCAAGCGUUGUCCGGAUUUAUUGGGCGUAAAGAGCUCGUAGGCGGUUCGGUAAGUCGGGUGUGAAAACUUUGGGCUUAACCCAAAGCGUGCAUCUGAUACUGCUGUGACUAGAGUUCGGUAGGGGAGUGGGGAAUUCCUAGUGUAGCGGUGAAAUGCGCAGAUAUUAGGAGGAACACCGGUGGCGAAGGCGCCACUCUGGGCGAAACUGACGCUGAGGAGCGAAAGCGUGGGUAGCAAACAGG
rnacentral:rRNA from 1 species